ensembl:ncRNA C47G2.22 ncRNA
CGUUUUUCGCAACUUCUUCGUCUUCUUAUUCUCCCGCGCGUUGUCACAACAUAUUUCGAAUGCAAAUAUUUGUGUUACGGUGGGUGGGGCCACGCCCGACAAGGGCCCCCCUUCUCGCGACCGUACUGUAACUGACACUAUGCAUAGAUGUCAAACAAAUUUACGCCCCUGGUAGGAAAGACUU